CUCUUGUGAAUUCACCAGCAUUACCAGCACUUGCUGGCACAUUCAAGCCAACUCCAGCUUUUGGAUCGUUUAUUGUGAAAGAUUGUCCGUACAAUGGCAUUCCUAAUUGACGAAGAAAAAGUUUUAAAGCGAAUUAUGGGGCACCUUUUGCGAUCCAGUAAUUUAUCGAAUAAUUCGCAUUAAAAUAAUAAAAUUCAUCAUCUGGAUGAGAAUACAUCGGAGCGACAUGUCCAGUCCUCUUAUCCCACUGUCCAUGAUAAUCAUACGUCAUGACUGCAAUCCAAUCCAAAUAUUUUGCUAAGGUUAAUACUUAAUUCCUUUACUAAUGCUGCGAAACUUUCUUUAUCCGAGGCUGGUCCUUUCUUGCAAUCCACCUAAUUAAUCGAUUAUAUAUUAAUUAGUUAUAUAAGUUUACUAUUGAUGAUAUAAUCCCG